rnacentral:lncRNA from 1 species
UUUAUAUCAAUUAUAUAAAUCAAAACAUAAAGGUUAUUCCUGAUUAAUUUUUUGAAUUAUUUUAUAAUUAAAGGCGUUAAGAAACCUUUGGUGACCCCACAGUUUAAAUGUCUAUCGUAGGUACAUCAUGAACAGUGGUCGUUACAGACAAACGUUCACGUAAAUUGUCCCAGUCAAUGGAUGAAUUUAAUGUGUCAAUCAAUGGCCACAGCCACACUGUUUUGAAUUUUAUUCUAUAUAUUGCAUUUGACAAACAAUUUAUAUUACUUUGUUGGAUUUUUUUCACUGGUAGAAAGAUAGAUGCAACCCUUCAAAAUUCAUCAUUUCAAAUGAAGUUCAAAAGUUAUUUAGAAUUUUUCAAAUGCAAAUUGGGUUCUUGGUGCAUUUAAGUUUAUUUGACUCGAGACUCGCUUAUUGCAAUAUUCUUGUAAAAAUUAAAAACAUCCAUUUAAAUGUUCGUACAGCUGUCGAAAUCUUUAUAAAAGAAGUACCAGUAUUGAAAAAUAGAGAAUUUGUAACUAGAUGGUGAAAAAAACCUAAAAAAGUAGUGUCAUAUGACCAUAAUCUGCUCAAGUUGAAUUCCCAAAGAUUUUUUUUAACAGUAAAUAUAUUAUUUUUUCUGAAAUUAUUAAACUAGAUAGAUCAAUGUAAUAAUUAUUUCAGCAUAAUAUAAAACUCAGAAUCAGGUUGUUCCCAGUUCCCAAUUUUUAUACAUGUUCUAGUGCUAGAGUAAUAUUUUUAUAUUAUUUUUUUUCUGUUGUUUGUUAUUUAGUAAAAGUUAUAUGGUUUUAUCUGUAAAUUCUAAAAAAAAAAUAUGUUGGUGCGGUUUUAAGUGACGAAUGAAUUUUAUUGAAUCAUGAACUUAAGAACUUGGAUGUGUGAAAUUCAGAUCAUGGGUGAAAAUUGAAAGAUUAAACAUUUCCAUCAAAUGGAUAUGUAUGAACUAGACUUGUGUGUAUCAGAAUGGAUCGAAUCUGUACGGGUGACAAAAACGCGAACUCGAACAAAAUGUGUGGAUCUUAGGAUGGACUGGAUCGAAUCGUGUGUGGAUUUGCUGCAGACUGAAUUGAACUGUAUGGAUUAAACUGUUAUCUGUUAUUUUGUGUGAACUGAAUUUGUGUGAUUUUUGAAUGAAUUGUUAUUUUUGGUUGAUUCUUUGAUUUAAUGAAAUUAUUUUUCAAAAAAAUUAUGAAAUGUGUGAAAAAUCAUGAUUUAUUCAUUAUCCCACCAUCAGCUUCAUGUUUAAUUUUUCAAAGCCUAAAGUCAUUAUUUUAUUUUUUGCUUUAACAUAAAUAAUUCAAAAAUACACAAUUUUGCUUAAUGUUUACAGUUUACACAGCAUUAAAUACAUAAGUAGCAUAUCAAAAUGAAUUUUUUAAAUUGGGAGGGAAGGGCUCUGAAGAUUAUUCGAAAGAGACUAGUUAAUAAUGUUAAGUAUAAGUAUUAAAAUAAAUUUUGUUAAUUUAUUCCUUCUUGGAAACAAAAAUUAAUUUGCUUUGACUCAUCGUAACUUAUAUAAAUUAACUUGGAUGUGAUUUUGUGAAUGUGGUGUGAAUAAAAAUAUAUAUCAAACAAAGUAUACUUGCGUUGUAUGUAUGAAGUUUGCCAGAAGAUGAAAGAUGGUGUCUGUUUUGUUUCAAACAGCAGACUUCUGAAACAUGAAAUUGGUGUGUUUUACAUGGGAGUGGUUGGGGAAGAAUUUGGAAAAGAAAUCAUCUACAUUGAAAAGCUAACUGAGCUAUCAUUACACAUGUAUACUAACAUGUUUUGUUCAAUGACUUAGAGUAUUUAAAGAACCAACGCUUAAAAUAUAUUUUUUCAAUUUUUUGGGGUUUACAUUUUCAAAAUUUUAAGCUUGAUAAUGUAAAAAUACUCAUGUAAACUGCAUAAAAGUCUGUUGUUUGAAACAAUUUGGAUGAAUGUGGAUUCUUAUUAUGAAAGAUAUUCACAUGGUCUCAAAUUAACUAUCCAAUGAGUUUACAUGUGUCAAAAUGUCUAUCUAUCACUUAUUGAUAUGUUUUAUAUGGG